AACGCGAAGAACCUUACCCAGGCUCGAAAUGUAGAGGACGUUAUCAGAGAUGAUAAUUCCCGAAAGGGUCUCUAUAUAGGUGCUGCAUGGCUGUCGUCAGCUCGUGCCGUGAGGUGUUUGGUUAAGUCCAGCAACGAGCGCAACCCUUAUUGUCAGUUGCCAACGCGUAAAGGCGGGGACUCUGGCAAGACUGCCUAGGUUAACUAGGAGGAAGGUGAGGAUGACGUCAAGUCCGCAUGGCCUUUAUGUCUGGGGCUACACACGUGCUACAAUGGUCGGUACAGAAGGCAGCGAAGCCGCGAGGUGGAGCUAAUCCGCAAAGCCGAUCUCAGUUCAGAUUGCAGUCUGCAACUCGGCUGCAUGAAGUUGGAAUUGCUAGUAAUGACGUGUCAGCAACAGCGUCGUGAAUACGUUCCCGGGCCUUGUACACACCGACAUA
rnacentral:rRNA from 1 species